GACGAACCGAGCGAACGUUAUUCGGAAUCACUGGGCUUAAAGGGCGCGUAGGCGGGCGAUCAAGUCAGGGGUGAAAGCCCCCAGCUCAACUGGGGAAGUGCCUCUGAUACUGGUCAUCUCGAGGGAGGUAGGGGUCUGUGGAACUUCCGGUGGAGCGGUGAAAUGCGUUGAUAUCGGAAGGAACGCCGGUGGCGAAAGCGACGGACUGGAUCUCUUCUGACGCUGAGGCGCGAAAGCCAGGGGAGCAAACGGG
rnacentral:rRNA from 1 species